rnacentral:piRNA from 1 species
UAGUUUUGUUGGAGUGUUCCUAGAAGCC